UUUAAAUUGAGAGUUUGAUCCUGGCUCAGGAUGAACGCUGGCGGCGUGCCUAAUACAUGCAAGUCGUACGCUAGCCGCUGAAUUGAUCCUUCGGGUGAAGUGAGGCAAUGACUAGAGUGGCGAACUGGUGAGUAACACGUAAGAAACCUGCCCUUUAGUGGGGGAUAACAUUUGGAAACAGAUGCUAAUACCGCGUAACAACAAAUCACACAUGUGAUCUGUUUGAAAGGUCCUUUUGGAUCGCUAGAGGAUGGUCUUGCGGCGUAUUAGCUUGUUGGUAGGGUAGAAGCCUACCAAGGCAAUGAUGCGUAGCCGAGUUGAGAGACUGGCCGGCCACAUUGGGACUGAGACACUGCCCAAACUCCUACGGGAGGCUGCAGUAGGGAAUUUUCCGCAAUGCACGAAAGUGUGACGGAGCGACGCCGCGUGUGUGAUGAAGGCUUUCGGGUCGUAAAGCACUGUUGUAAGGGAAGAAUAACUGAAUUCAGAGAAAGUUUUCAGCUUGACGGUACCUUACCAGAAAGGGAUGGCUAAAUACGUGCCAGCAGCCGCGGUAAUACGUAUGUCCCGAGCGUUAUCCGGAUUUAUUGGGCGUAAAGCGAGCGCAGACGGUUUAUUAAGUCUGAUGUGAAAUCCCGAGGCCCAACCUCGGAACUGCAUUGGAAACUGAUUUACUUGAGUGCGAUAGAGGCAAGUGGAACUCCAUGUGUAGCGGUGAAAUGCGUAGAUAUGUGGAAGAACACCAGUGGCGAAAGCGGCUUGCUAGAUCGUAACUGACG
rnacentral:rRNA from 1 species